UUAGUGAAGAAUACCCUGGAGAAAUCCAGGCUAAUACUGCAUAAGCCCAGAAAUGGGAAAGGUGGCCUCAAGCUACCGCUGAAGGAUGAGCCUGUGUCCUAUUAGUUAGUUGGCAGGGUAAUGGCCUACCAAGACAAAGAUGGGUAUCCGGCCUGAGAGGGUGUACGGACACACUGGAACUGAAACACGGUCCAGACUCCUACGGGAGGCAGCAGUGGGGAAUAUUGCACAAUGGGCGCAAGCCUGAUGCAGCGACGCCGCGUGGAGGAUGACGGUCUUCGGAUUGUAAACUCCCUGUUAAGUGGGAAGAAAGACCAGUAUCUAAUACAUGCUGGGGAUGACGGUACCACUAGAGAAAGCACCGGCAAACUUCGUG
rnacentral:rRNA from 1 species